rnacentral:rRNA from 1 species
AACGAACGCUGGCGGCAUGCCUAACACAUGCAAGUCGAACGAGACCUUCGGGUCUAGUGGCGCACGGGUGCGUAACGCGUGGGAACCUGCCCUUAGGUUCGGAAUAACUCCCCGAAAGGGGUGCUAAUACCGGAUAAUGUCUUCGGACCAAAGAUUUAUCGCCUUUGGAUGGGCCCGCGUUGGAUUAGCUAGUUGGUAGGGUAAAAGCCUACCAAGGCGACGAUCCAUAGCUGGUCUGAGAGGAUGAUCAGCCACACUGGGACUGAGACACGGCCCAGACUCCUACGGGAGGAAGCAGUGGGGAAUAUUGGACAAUGGGCGAAAGCCUGAUCCAGCAAUGCCGCGGGAGUGAUGAAGGCCUUAGGGUUGUAAAGCUCUUUUACCCGGGAUGAUAAUGACAGUACCGGGAGAAUAAGCUCCGGCAAACUCCGU